AAACUUUCAACAACGGAUCUCUUGGUUCUCGCAUCGAUGAAGAACGCAGCGAAAUGCGAUACGUAAUAUGAAUUGCAGAUAUUCGUGAAUCAUCGAAUCUUUGAACGCACAUUGCGCCCUUUGGUAUUCCAAAGGGCAUGCCUGUUUGAGCGUCAUUUC
rnacentral:rRNA from 1 species